AAUGAAGUGCCUGAUUUGAAAGGGUUAUUUUGAUAGAAUAAAUCAUGUAAUUUCCAUUACCUUCAUUA
rnacentral:tRNA from 1 species